rnacentral:tRNA from 1 species
GGAGGAACUGUGGCUCAGUGACAGAUCAUCUGCUUGGCCUGCAUAAGGUCUCAGGUUCAAUUCCUGGUAUCUCCA